AGAUGAUUAAGAAGGCCAAACAGGAGUACAUAAUAAAAAAGCUGGCAGAGCUGAGGGCCAGCAACCCUAAAAUUCCGAUGGCCAGCUUUCUGGACCAGAUCUCCACCAUUAGUCACAACAUUGGUGCUCCCCUCUUGACCUCCACCCCUAUUGAGCCUGAAGAGCCAUCCACCAUUCCUGAAACUCAAUGUUCAGACGCCCGAGGAGAGGAAGAACAAGAUGAGGACCCACACCCCAGCACUUCGCAGUCAUCCUCAGCCACAAACAUGCCGUCUUCUAUAUGCACAAACUCAUUGUGCAUAAAGGAGAAGGCAAUCAUGCGGGACGAGAUCAAGAGGCUUACCGACCAGCUGAAGUGUAGCGGAGGGGAGUGUCGGAACACAUCAUGCGUUGCCAAAGCUGCCGAGUUGCAGAAGUAUGCUGCCAUGUUUAUUGCCAGCCUUCACCUCAAAGCUCGCAAAAAGUUUUCCCGGAAGGACACUUUUAGUAAGGCACACAAUCCUAAGUAUGAAAAAGUCCUACAGCAGUUCCUCAAAUUCACUGUGGGAUGCAACCCCUCAUCCAAGAAGUCUGAGAAUGUGAAGACCGCUAUAUCCCAUGUCAGGAGGUUUCUCAUUCACUACGGGGAAGGCAAACUCCUGAGGGGGAAUUUUGGCUUUUUGAAGGAUUCCUCCAGCAUUGCCAAGUGGGUGGAUGUCCUUCGCGAAGAUGGCUUCAAACCCACCACAAUGCGGAUCCAGCUACUGAACAUAAAAAAGUUCUUCAAGUAUAUCCUACACAUGUCCCAAAAAGAAACAAGGCUUAGCGGUCUGGACUUCCGGAAGCUGUUUAUGGAGCUGGAUGCGCGCAUCAAGGACCUGUCAAGCUCCGUGAUCACACACCGCCAGAAAAUCCGGAAGAGCCAAUCCCGUAAGUAUCUUGUAACAAGAAAUGUUAGUAAUGAAGUUAUUCAAUAUAUAUAUAUGUGUGUGUGUGUGUGUGUGUGUGUGUGUGUAAUACUGGGUGUUUUGUGUUUAGAUCACAUCGUGCCAAAGGAGGACACAAAACGCUUCCGAAAAGGUGUUAGGCGUGUUCUGCCGAAGAAGCUCAAAACUUUGGAGAGCAACCCGUCCUGGGAGAUUUUGGAUCAGGUGUAUGGAAUGCUGGUGGGUUACUUUGUCAGUGUCAGUGGACAUCGGAAAGGCGUCCUGCAAAAUUUGAAGGUGUCCGAGGUAAUGGACGCAGACGUCGAGGGGGACCACGUCGUUGUGGAAGUCAGCAAACACAAAUCGGCGAGUACAUACGGACAUGCCCAGUUGGCCAUGAACCAUGAGGAGUAUUCCUGGUUCACGAAACUGGUGUCUCUCCGUGAUUUCUUUGCAGGGGGGGAUUCUGAACAUUUUUUUUAACCGUUCCGGAGGGGUUUGCAGCAGGCUGCUGCCACUUUUCCAAAUGGAAUGGAAGAGGAUGGGGUUCGGAGGUCAGUUCACCUUUAAGAACUUCAGAACCUCCAUGGUCCAUUAUGUG
rnacentral:lncRNA from 1 species